rnacentral:pre_miRNA from 1 species
AGUGGAAUUGCUGGAUCAUAUGGUAACUAUUUUUUUGAGGAAUAACCAAACUGUUUUCUACGGUGACUGCACCUUUUAUAUUCCUGCCAACAGU